GAUGAACGCUGGCGGCGUGCCUAAUACAUGCAAGUCGAGCGAAGCGGGGACGGGUGAGUAACACGUGGAUAACCUCCUAUAAGACUGGGAUAACUUCGGGAAACCGGAGCUAAACCGGAUAAUUAUAGAUGGAUCCGCCAGGCAUUCGCUAGUUGGUAAGGUAACGGACUACAAGGGCAACGAUGCAUAGACGACCUGAGAGGGUGAUCGGCCACACUGGAACGGUGACACGGUCCAGACUCCUACGGGAGGCAGCAGUAGGGAAUCUUCCGCAAUGGGCGAAAGCCUGACGGAGCAACGCCGCGUGAGUGAUGAAGUUUUUCGGAUCGUAAAACUCUGUUGUUAGAGAAGCGGUAUCUAACCAGAAAGCCACGGCUAACUACGUGCCAGCAGCCGCGGUAAUAC
rnacentral:rRNA from 1 species